rnacentral:rRNA from 1 species
UGAAGCGGCAACAGCUCAAAUUUGAAAUCUGGCCCUUGGGUCCGAGUUGUAAUUUGUAGAGGAUGCUUUUGGUGCGGUGCCUUCCGAGUGCCCUGGAACGGGACGCCUUAGAGGGUGAGAGCCCCGUACGGUUGGACACCUAGCCUCUGUAAAGCUCCUUCGACGAGUCGAGUAGUUUGGGAAUGCUGCUCAAAAUGGGAGGUAAAUUUCUUCUAAAGCUAAAUACCGGCCAGAGACCGAUAGCGCACAAGUAGAGUGAUCGAAAGAUGAAAAGCACUUUGAAAAGAGGGUUAAAUAGCACGUGAAAUUGUUGAAAGGGAAGCGCUUAUGACCAGACUUUUUCCUUGGGGAUCAUCCGGUGUUCUCACCGGUGCACUUCCCUUGGUUUAGGCCAGCAUCGGUUUCCGCAGGGGGAUAAAAGCUUUGGGAACGUGGCUCCUCCGGGAGUGUUAUAGCCCGCUGCAUAAUACCCUUGUGGGGACCGAGGUACGCGCUUCUGCAAGGAUGCUGGCGUAAUGGUCAUCAGCGACCCGUCUUGAAACACGGACCAAGGAGUCGAACAUUUGUGCGAGUGUUUGGGUGUUAAACCCUCACGCGUAAUGAAAGUGAACGGAGGUGAGAGCCUUUUAGGUGCAUCAUCGACCGAUCCUGAUGUCUUCGGAUGGAUUUGAGUAAGAGCAUAACUGUUCGGACCCGAAAGAUGGUGAACUAUGCGUGGAUAGGGUGAAGCCAGAGGAAACUCUGGUGGAGGCUCGCAGCGGUUCUGACGUGCAAAUCUGAUCGUCA